rnacentral:rRNA from 1 species
CCUACGGGGGGCAGCAGUGGGGGAUAUUGCACAAUGGGGGAAACCCUGAUGCAGCGACGCCGCGUGAGUGAAGAAGUAUUUCGGUAUGUAAAGCUCUAUCAGCAGGGAAGAAAAUGACAGUACCUGACCAAGAAGCCCCGGCUAACUACGUGCCAGCAGCCGCGGUAAUACGUAGGGGGCAAGCGUUAUCCGGAUUUACUGGGUGUAAAGGGAGCGUAGACGGUUAUGUAAGUCUGGAGUGAAAGCCCGGGGCCCAACCCCGGGACUGCUUUGGAAACUGUGCAGCUAGAGUGCAGGAGAGGUAAGUGGAAUUCCUAGUGUAGCGGUGAAAUGCGUAGAUAUUAGGAGGAACACCAGUGGCGAAGGCGGCUUACUGGACUGUAACUGACGUUGAGGCUCGAAAGCGUGGGGAGCAAACAGGAUUAGAUACCCUUGUAGUC